rnacentral:rRNA from 1 species
UUUUGGACAAUGGGCGCAAGCCUGAUCCAGCCAUUCCGCGUGAGUGAAGAAGGCCUUCGGGUUGUAAAGCUCUUUCGCAAGGGAAGCAAACUUACUUUCUAAUAAAGAGUGAGGUUGACGGUACCUUGAUAAGAAGCACCGGCUAACUACGUGCCAGCAGCCGCGGUAAUACGUAGGGUGCGAGCGUUAAUCGGAAUUACUGGGCGUAAAGCGUGCGCAGGCGGCUUUGUAAGUCAGAUGUGAAAUCCCCGAGCUCAACUUGGGAACUGCGUUUGAAACUACAAGGCUAGAAUAUGUCAGAGGGGGGUAGAAUUCCACGUGUAGCAGUGAAAUGCGUAGAGAUGUGGAGGAAUACCAAUGGCGAAGGCAGCCCCCUGGGAUAAUAUUGACGCUCAUGCACGAAA